ensembl:lncRNA novel transcript
UCCGCGGGAGCAAAAUAGUGGAAAUGGGGUAGAAGACCAGCACAGCUUGGCAUUCCUGGAGUGUGAUGUGGAAGGAAAAGUGCAGCGGAAGACAAACAAAGAUGAGAUAAUUUACGGGCAACCGAAGAGCAUAAACCAAAGUAGAUAUCUAUCUAGAUAGAUAGAUACAUCUCCAUAUCAUUGACAGGAUACCUUCUGGCCAAGUGUGAGUACAACCUAUGGGUGUGGCUGGAGAGAACAUGUGUUCCACCUGAAUGGCAGAUCAAGAUUAUUCCUUCUCAUCUGCUGCAAUGGCUCAAUGUGUUAAGGAGAGGAGCGAGACAGCAAGAACUGCAUUCAUUCAGUCAUACAGACCAGAAGGAGGAAUGUCGCCCAGCCCUCUACACUGACACAGAACCCAGCUCAUGUCUCAACUGCUACCUCUACUACUUAGAAAGAAGUAACUCCACCAAAGCAGGGUUCUGGACAGAUGUAUUUUUAUUGAUCAUAUACAAAUAGAUGAAGAUGGGCUUGGAUGUUAAGAAAAAUAAUACUAUACAAAAUCAAGAGUAGACAGUCGCCCCUAGACUUAAAUUAAGAGUGUGUACAUUAGAUAAUUUAAUCCAAUGUAUCAGGUAAAAACUUGAAAAACCCUUUUGGCCUCUUCCAUAAAAUUCAGGGAAGCAUGUCCUCCACAAAACAUAAUCAAAAUAUAAAUGAAAGACUGGCUUAAGAUGAAAGGAAACCUUAUAAAUGAAAAGAAGCCAGAGGAGAGGCACUUAACCGAGAAUGAAAAAAACUGAAUGGACAAAAUAAUUAUGAGAAGAUGAAUCUUCAAGUCAGAAAGAGGGAAAAAAGCUCAUUUGAUACUAUGGGAACUCAAAAGAGUGAACACAAAUGUGAAAAUUCCAAGAGUACAGAAAAGUAGCAUAACUAAAUUAAGAGCAUGAGAAAAUGUAUACAAUUCGGAGUAAUAAGAACAGAAAUCAAAAGUUAGUAUUGUAUGUUAUAUUUUUGUAGAGCAACACUGAAUAAGAAUGAAAACAAGAAGUAAUACUAAAUAUGAACAUAUGGAGAACAGAAUAAUAUUUUUAAAAUUUUUAGUUUCUAAGUUUACCUGAAAUUUUAAUUUUGGUUUCUUAUGUAAUACCAGAGUGAUUAGGAAGGUAUUAGCUAAUAACACUAUUUUCAGUGAUAUUUUAAGUAUUUGUCCUAGAAAAAUUUCUAUUUUUAAAAAAUGUAUAUUUAAAAAUACAUUAAAUGUGUAUAUACAUCAAUCAUAUGUAUCAAUUUCUGUUUUUUUUGAAUUGCAAAUGAAAUUUGUAUUUUUGUGUUCCUGGAAUAAAAUAAACUUGAAUGGAUUGUAACAUAUUAUUCAUGCUGUAAUUCAAUGUAUUUGAAUUCUUUAAGAAUGUUACAUUUAUAGUUAACAGAUAAUGACCUAUAAAUUUUCUUUCAUAUAAUGAUGCUGUGAGACAAUCUAAGAAGAAUUAAAAUUUAAAUUCAUGUAUUCCUACUUUUUCCUCUGCUCUCUAACUGUAAUAUAUUUUAAUUACAGAUGGAAGAACAGAUAGGUGUUAGAUAAAUAGGUAUAUAAUAGAUUGAUCAUCCAAAAUUCUUAUUCUUAUGGUUUUAUGUAGUCAGUAUUUACCUCUAUUUUUCUACAUGUUUAUCCUUCCAAUUUAGUUCAUUACUUCCUGCACCUUUGAUGUCAUAUACAUAGCAGGAAAUAACACAUGGUGGCUGGGAUGUAGAGAGAGCCACCGGAUUUGUGAAUAAAAACCACAGGCAAGGAUGUGGCGAUUCCUUUUGCAGUAUUGGAGGGAAUGCCAAACGCUAUGUUUGCUGUGGAAAAGAGUAUGGUAGUUCCUCAAAACAUCAAAAUGGUAUUGCCAUAUGAUUCAGCAGCGCCACAUCUCAGGAUAGCAAAAGAAUUGAAAGCAGAGUCUUGAAAAAAUAUUUGCACAUCCAUGUUUGCAGCAGCGUUAUUGGCAAUAGCUAAAACUUAGAAGCAAUUGAAGUGUCCAACAACAGAUGAAUGGAUAAGUACAAUAUUAAAUAUACACACAAUGGAAUAUUAUUCAGCCUUAAACAUGAGGGAAAUAUUCUGACAUAUGUUGCAGCUUGGAUGAAACUUGAGGAUAUUAUGCCAAGUGAAAUAAGUUAGUCAGUGAAGGACAAAUACAGUAUAAUUCCAUUUGUAUUAAAGUGGACAGAAUCAUAGAGAUAGUACAAUGAUGGUUGCCAGAAGCUGGGGGGAGGAAGAAAUGGGGAAGUAUUGUUUAAUGGGUAUACAGUUUCAGUUCUACAAGAUGAAACGAGUUAUGGAGAUGGAUGGUAGGGACGGCUGCACAAUGUUAUGACUAUAUUUAGUACCACUGAACUGUACACUUAAAAUGGUUAACAGAGUACAUUUUAUGUUAUGUGUAUUUUACCACAAUAAAAAAAUAAAAUACCUUAGGAACAUUUUCCUGAAAGAGUCCACAUAACAUUCAUUUUAAUGCGUGUGUUUAUGCAUAGCUUUCUAUUUUUCUCUUUUCUAUUUAUAUUCCAAAUUAGAAUAUAAUGGUCAUCAAACAUAGUGGCUGUGUUUCUUGCUUCAUCUAGUCUGCAGGUAGCAUACAAAUGUAAUAAACUACUUAUUCAUGUCGCAUCUAUUUAUUUUCUGCCUUAUACCAAGCUUGUGGGAUUCUCUUAAAUACAACAUUUUUAUACUUACACCUAGGCAAUACCCAUUAGCAUCGCCUUCCUAAAUCAGGGGAAAUUGAGCCUCUGUAAGGUGGAGUAACUUACUAAGAUACAAAACUCAGCAUUAAAGUCUGUAUACUUCAAUAUCCUGCCCUCUUCUCAUUUGUCUUUACUGCCUUUUAUGUAUG